rnacentral:rRNA from 1 species
AUACGUAGGGGGCGAGCGUUGUCCGGAAUGACUGGGCGUAAAGGGCGUGUAGGCGGCCAAUUAAGUCUGGAGUGAAAGUCCUGCAUUCAAUGUGGGAAUUGCUUUGGAGACUGGUUGGCUUGAGUGCGGAAGAGGUAAGUGGAAUUCCCAGUGUAGCGGUGAAAUGCGUAGAGAUUGGGAGGAACACCAGUGGCGAAGGCGACUUACUGGGCCGUAACUGACGCUGAGGCGCGAAAGCGUGGGGAGCGAACAGGAUUAGAUACCCUGGUAGUCCACGCGGUAAACGAUGAAUGCUAGGUGUUGCGGGUAUCGACCCCUGCAGUGCCGGAGUAAACACAAUAAGCAUUCCGCCUGGGGAGUACGGCCGCAAGGUUGAAACUCAAAUGAAUUGGCGGGG